rnacentral:lncRNA from 1 species
CGACACUGCAGAUUCCCCAGAGACGGCCCCCACUGGUCGGUUCCAGAGGUUGGCCCUAAAUGGCUCCUUGAGAUUCCUCCCGGUUCCCAAUCUCAGGGCAUUAUCUCUAAAGGUGUAUCCCCGGGGGGGGGCGGCCCUCCCACCCACCUUGAUGACCUGGGGUGGUGGGGGUGGGGAUAUCGGAGCUGUCCUGCCCAGUCAGGCCAGGAUCUCCACUGCCACGAAGAGAACAGAGGAAAUAAGAGUGCUCAGCCCAGCAACCCCAGACUCUGGGUAAGGAAGAGAAGCAGGCCCGCAGCCAGGCGGGGGACGGGCCCUGAGGACCUAGGCCCAGCUCCGGAGACCUGGGCAACUCCGGGCGCUCCAGCCCCAACUAGGGGCCGGGUGAUGCCCUACGACUCUCCCCCGAAGCCCCAAGCCUCGGUUUCUAAGCCCGGUCCUCCGCUAAACCUGCUACUGGUCCCACCCCGCGCCAGCCAGCGGCCCGAGGAGCCAGAAAAGGCCCCGAAGGUAGCCAUGAACCGCUCCACCGCCCGGGGGGUCCACCCGCUUUCCAGAACCGGGGACGGGAAACAGGGUCCCAGGGGCGAGAGAGGAGGGCGGAGCCCCCGGGGGUUUGAGGUACCCGAAGGGGUGGGACCUUAGGAGCGGGAGAAGGCGAGGCCCGAAGAUACGAAGAGGUAGGGUCUAGAGGCUGCUGAGGAGGGGGCUUGAAGGGGCGGGGCCCAUUUGGAGGGGACCAGGGACAUACAGUAGGGACAGGGCCUCAGAAGUGCCCGAGUCCAUAUAGAAAGCAGGUAGGGUCCACAGGAACCUUAGAGGGCAGGGUUGAAAGGUAGGAAGGGGGGUGGAGCCUGAGGGGGCGGAGCCAGAAGGAACCAAGGGGCGGGGCCUGAAGACACGCACCAGGGCAGCCUGAGAGGGGUGGAACCUGUGGCCUCCUGGAAGGGGAAGGCCCAGAGGAGCUAGUGGGGUGGCGUUUGAUAGGAGCAGAGUGGGGUCUGGAAAUACUGGGGGUGGAUGGAACCUGGAGGUGAGGAAGCGCGGGACCCGGGCGUACAGAAAGGGCAAGACCAGAGGAAGCGGCCAGGAAAUACAAGGGUGGCAGCCCUGGUCUGAUUUGCACCGCAUCCUACACAGGGGUGUGUGUCGCUGCUGCUGGCGGAGCCACGUGUUUGAGGCUGGGGCCCUGCGAGAGCUGUGUGCUGGGUGCCCAGUAUCCCCAACCUGCCCUCCCUGGGGCCCUCAGUCGGGUGGCUGUGCACGGCCUGGCACUGAGUCAAUCAAGCAGGCAGUGUUGUAGUUCUGCUACCACUAGGGACCGCCAGUUCCCCGUUGGGGCCUUAGGAGGCCCAAGGACGCAGCAUUUGCAACCCCAGGGAGCUGAUUUUCUUGAGAGAGGGCAUUUCCACCUCUUUGAUGCCUUACACAAAAGGGAGUUUUCCUGUCUCCCACGAGGCCACUUGCACUGGAGCAUUUGCACCCCAGCAGAGACAAUGUUUGCCCUGUGAGUCAGGGUUUGCAUGGAAGAGACAUGUUGGGGGCUAUGUCCAUCCAGAAAAAUCUCUUUCCCAUAACUCUCCCAUCCCAAAAUGAAAACUCAUUUCCAGUGAUUUUGUGGUUUCCCUUAAAAAAAAAUACUGAC